rnacentral:rRNA from 1 species
UACGUAGGGGGCAAGCGUUGUCCGGAAUCAUUGGGCGUAAAGAGCGCGUAGGCGGCCCGAUAAGUCCGCUGUGAAAGUCAAGGGCUUAACCCUUGAAUGCCGGUGGAAACUGUCGGGCUAGAGUCCGGAAGAGGCGAGUGGAAUUCCUGGUGUAGCGGUGAAAUGCGCAGAUAUCAGGAGGAACACCGAUGGCGAAGGCAGCUCGCUGGGACGGUACUGACACUGAGGCGCGAAAGCGUGGGGAGCGAACAGG